rnacentral:rRNA from 1 species
GAUGAACGCUGGCGGCAUGCUUAACACAUGCGAGUCGAACGGGAAGUGGUGUUUCCCGUGGCGAACGGGUGAGUAACGCGUAAGAACCUGCCCUUGGGAGGGGAACAACAACUGGAAACGGUUGCUAAUACCCCGUAGGCUGAGGAGCAAAAGGAGAAAUCCGCCCAAGGAGGGGCUCGCGUCUGAUUAGCUAGUUGGUGAGGUAAUAGCUUACCAAGGCGAUGAUCAGUAGCUGGUCCGAGAGGAUGAUCAGCCACACUGGGACUGAGACACGGCCCAGACUCCUACGGGAGGCAGCAGUGGGGAAUUUUCCGCAAUGGGCGAAAGCCUGACGGAGCAAUGCCGCGUGGAGGUGGAAGGCCUACGGGUCGUCAACUUCUUUUCUCGGAGAAGAAACAAUGACGGUAUCUGAGGAAUAAGCAUCGGCUAACUCUGUC